GUCUCAAAAAAAUUUUUUUUAAUAAAAUAAAAUAUAGAAAUGAGGUCUCACUGUGUUGCCUGCCAGGUUGGUCUUGAACUCCUGGGCUCAAGUGAUCCCCCGUCUCAUCUUCCAAAGUGCUGGGAGUACAGGUGUGAGCCACCGUGCCUGGCCAAGACUAGGUGACUUUUUUGUUUUGAGACGGAGUCUCACUCUGUUGCCCAGGCUGGAGUUAAAUGGCCUGAUCUCAGCUCACUUGCAACCUCUGCCUCCCGGGUUCAAGCAAUUCUCCUGCCUCAGCCUCCUGAGUAGCUGGGACUACAGGCACGGACCACCAUGCCAUGCUAAUUUUUCUAUUUUUAGUAGAGAUGGGGUUUUACUAUGUUGGCCAGGCUGGUCUUGAACUCCUGACCUCAUGAUCCACCCACCUCGGCCUCCCAAAGUGCUGGGAUUACAGGUGUGAGCCACCGCACCUGGCCCAAGGCUAGGUGACUUUUAAGGUUUCUUCCAAAUCUUUGCAUUUGUGACUCUUACUGCAAAUGAUGCAUAAAAUUAAAUAUAUAGAUGAGCCACCACGCCUGGCCUUUAUUAAUAUAUUGACUAUAAAUUACACUUAACUAUUUUUACCUGAAGUCAGGGUUUUUUAGAGUAGUCUUCGAAUUUAUGGAAAUGAACUUAUACAACUUUGAAAUUAUAGAUCCUUAAAUUUACCAGAAAAUCUCUUAGGCUUUCUUUAGCUACAAAAAAUUUUUAUUGUGCCAGUGAUGUAUAAUUGGUAAGAAUUGGCAUAGUGCUAGAACACUGUAAUUAUUCAGUUUGCUUUAAAACAUUGCAUAUGUUCACUAAUAAUCCUUUCAAUUAAGUGAAAAUUUUAUACUAGCUUUUUCAUUAUGAAAGUAAUACACAGAAUGA
rnacentral:lncRNA from 10 species